rnacentral:rRNA from 1 species
GACGAACGCUGGCGGCGUGCCUAACACAUGCAAGUCGAACGGAUUUGGGAGGUGCGAGGUUAGAGGUUGUUUGAGAAGUGGGAAGUGAGAGGUUAGAAGUGAGAAUCAAUAGAAAUUGGCGAAGCCAAUUUCCUCAAAAGAACUCACAUCCAACUUCGCAGAUCUUACCUCACAGAGCAACUUCUCACCUCACACUUCUCAGAUUAGUGGCGGACGGGUGAGUAACACGUAGGUAAUGUACCCUCUUGCUGGGGAUACCUGUCCGAAAGGAUGGUUAAUACCGAAUGAGCCACGACCGGGGCAUCCUGGUGGUGGCAAACUGGCAACGGGCGAGAGGAUCAGCCUGCGGACCAUCAGCUGGUUGGUGGGGUAACGGCCUACCAAGGCGACGACGGUUAGCCGGUUUGAGAGGACGAUCGGCCACACUGGGACUGAAACACGGCCCAGACUCCUACGGGAGGCAGCAGUGAGGAAUAUUGCGCAAUGGGCGAAAG